rnacentral:rRNA from 1 species
UGAGGAAUAUUGGACAAUGGGGGCAACCCUGAUCCAGCCAUGCCGCGUGAGUGAUGAAGGCCUUAGGGUUGUAAAACUCUUUCGCCGGUGAAGAUAAUGGCGGUAACCGGUAAAGAAGCCCCGGCUAAUUUCGUGCCAGCAGCCGCGGUAAUACGAAAGGGGCUAGCGUUGUUCGGAAUUACUGGGCGUAAAGCGCGCGUAGGCGGCAUGCCAAGUUGGGGGUGAAAUCCCGGGGCUCAACCCCGGAACUGCCUCCAAAACUGGCAAGCUAGAGGAUGUGAGAGGAUAGUGGAAUUCCGAGUGUAGAGGUGAAACUCGUAGAUAUUAGGAAGAACACCAGUGGCGAAGGCGGCUCACUGGCCCGGUACUGACGCUGAGGUGCGAAAGCGUGGGGAGCAAACAGGAUUAGAUACCCGCGUAGUCC